rnacentral:rRNA from 1 species
GAUGAACGCUGGCGGCGUGCCUAAUACAUGCAAGUAGAACGCUGAAGGAGGAGCUUGCUCUUCUGGAUGAGUUGCGAACGGGUGAGUAACGCGUAGGUAACCUGCCUGGUAGCGGGGGAUAACUUUUGGAAACGAUAGCUAAUACCGCAUGACAACAGUUCUUGCAUGAUAACUGUUUAAAAGGGGCAACUGCUCCACUACCAGAUGGACCUGCGUUGUAUUAGCUAGUUGGUGAGGUAACGGCUCACCAAGGCGAAGAUACAUAUCCGACCCGAGGAGGUGAACCGCCACACUGGGAAUGAGACACGGGCCAGAAUCCUAAGGGGAGGAGCAGGAGGGGAAUUUUGGAAAUGGAGGGAAGGCUGAACGAAGAACGACGCGUGAGUGAAGGAAGGUUUCGGAGCGGAAAAGUCCGUUGUAAGAGAAGAACGAGUGGGAGGGUGGAAAGUUCACGUUGUGACGGUACCUUACCAGAAAGGGACGGCUAACUACGUG